GUUUAUUUUGUUAAAAUUUAGGGUAGUAUUUAAUUUAGUAGUUUUUUUAUUAUUAGUAUUAUUAGGAAUUAUUUUUUGUUGGAAACUGCAAAGGGUAGAUAAAAAAUAUUAAGAAUUAUUUGUUAGUACCUUUUGUAUCAGGGUAAGUUAAUUAGCAAAAUUAUUUUAUUUUCCCGAAUUUAAAAGGUCAAAUUUUAUAUUAUCUAUUUGUGUUAAAAAAUUUUGUAAUAUAUUAUUAGUAAUUAAAUGUUAAUCGUUUUUUGUUUAUCUGGUUAUUAAGGAACAAAAUUUAAUUUUUCACUUUAUUCUUUAUUUAUAAAAUUUUAUAUGAAAAGUUAAGUGUAAAUUUAUUAGGGAUAAUCUUAGUAAAUAAAAAUUAUUACAUAUUUUAAUUUAGGUUUUUUUACUUUUAAAUUUUGUAUUGAGUUUGUAUUAAAUUAAUUUAAUUUUAUAUUAUUUUUUUGUGUAUAUUUUUAUACUUAAUUAUUUAGCAUAAUUUAUAAUCUUUUUCAAUAAUGAUUUAAUUAGUAUAAUGGGGUUUUUUGGAAGAAAUGAAUUCGACAAAUAUUAUAUUUCCAACUGUUUAUCAAAAACAUUUCUUUUUGGUUUUAUAAAAAGUACCUUCUGCCCUAUGGUUGAUAUUUUCUAAAUGGCUGCAGUAAUUUGACUGUGCAAAGGUAGCAUAGUAAUUAGUUUUUUAAUUGAAAGCUCGUAUGAAUGGAUGUAUGAGAAUUAUAUUUUAUUCUUUUAAUAUUUAAAAUUUAAAUUUAAAGUUAAAAUGCUUUAUUUAUUUAUUGGGACGAUAAGACCCUAUAGAACUUUAUAAUAUUUAAUUAUAAUUAAUUUUUAAGAGUUUAUAUUUUUUAUAAUUUUAUAUAUUUUGCUGGGGUGGCAGCUAAAUUUGAACUUUAGUUUUAUGUUUCAUUUAUUUAUGUAAAUUUUGAUCCUUUGUUAUUGGAUAGUAAGAUAAAGUUACCUUAGGGAUAACAGCGUAAUUUUAAUGGGGAGUUCAUAUCUAUAUUAUAUUUUGCGACCUCGAUGUUGAAUUAAGAAAAUUUUGAGAUGCAGUAUUCUCAUUAAUAAGUCUGUUCGACUUUUAAAUUCUUACAUGAUUUGAGUUCAAACCGGCGUAAGCCAGGUUGGUUUCUAUCUGGUAAUAUAAAUUUUGUACUUAGUACGAAAGGACCAGUAUAAAUCACCAAAAAGUGAAUAUCUUUUAUGAAA
rnacentral:rRNA from 1 species